rnacentral:rRNA from 1 species
UACGUAGGGGGCUAGCGUUGUCCGGAUUUAUUGGGCGUAAAGAGCGUGUAGGCGGCCAGGUAGGUCUGGUGUGAAAACUCGAGGCUUAACCUCGAGAUGUCAUCGGAAACCAUCUGGCUAGAGUCCGGAAGAGGAGAAUGGAAUUCCCGGUGUAGCGGUGAAAUGCGCAGAUAUCGGGAAGAACACCCGUGGCGAAGGCAGGUCUCUGGGCCACUACUGACGCUGAGAAGCGAAAGCAUGGGGAGCGAACAGG